GAGGCCGGCAAGUGCUGGGUCCAUCAUGACACGAUGGAUAAGAGAGGUGCAAUUCCUCCCCUUAACCCCCGGUAGCGGCCCA
rfam:Frangipani mosaic virus isolate FrMV-P, complete genome.